ACACUAAAAGUGAAAGUGCCCCUUCUAAAACGGAAGUUGUUGAAGAAGUUGCAGAUGUCAAAGAGACAGAAGAAGUUGCCCCUGAAACUGGUACCAAUGGGGAUUCAGAACAACCAAAACAAGAAAAUGUGGAGGAUGGAAGAAAUGACAGUGAAAAUAAUAAUCAAAAUGUCUUCAGUUAUGAGCAAUUAAAGACUAAAUCUGGUAGUGUGUGUCUAGAAUUGAUCUUAAACAGAGAGAGGCUUAUCUGUCAGACAAAGAGUUCGAAACUGUAUUUGGAAUGGCCAAAGAAGCAUUCUCUAAGUUGCCAAGAUGGAAGCAAGACAUGCUGAAAAGGAAAGUGGAUUUGUUCUAGACUCAGACACAAUGAGCAACAUAUAUGCUGCUUUUGCAUCCUAAUAUAUCUUGAGAUGCACUAAUCUGUUGGGUAGUGUGGUUUUCUUGCUAUAUAUGCCCUACUUGGAUUCCUAUGCAUAGCACUUUGCUUUUGGCCCAUAAUGGGCGUAGCUAUAUAUGGUUAGUGUCCAAGUUUGAAUGCGGCACCGCCUUGGAGAAUGAGUUUUAAUUUUCUCCUUUUAAAUUGAGCAUGCCUCUUCUUCCUCUUGUAAUGUUCUCAUAUUAUUAUAGCAACAAACACAGUGGACAAGUUCAAUUCUUUCAUUUUGUCAAGUUUGUAUUUUAAAAAUGUGGCUUUUUUGUUUUUAUCCCUUGUUGCUAUUGGUUAGGGAGGCGGGUGUAUAUGUAUUGCAUUUUAUACUGAAUCUCAAUAUAAAGAAUGAAAAUUUGUUUGUUUGU